AUACGUAGGGCGCGAGCGUUGUCCGGAAUUACUGGGCGUAAAGGGCGCGUAGGCGGCGCUUCAAGUCGUCUGUCAAAUGUGAGGGCUUAACCCUUUUUCGCAGACGAAACUGGAGAGCUUGAGAAGCAGAGAGGCAAACAGAAUUCCUGGUGUAGCGGUGAAAUGCGUAGAUAUCAGGAAGAAUACCAGUGGCGAAGGCGGUUUGCUGGCUGCAUACUGACGCUGAAGCGCGAAAGCCAGGGGAGCAAACGGGAUUAGAUACCCCGGUAGUCCUGGCAGUAAACGAUGUAUGCUGGGUGUGAGACUAGCGAUAGUUUCGUGCCGAAGUUAACGCGAUAAGCAUACCGCCUGGGGAGUACGGUCGCAAGAUUGAAACUCAAAGGAAUUGACGGGG
rnacentral:rRNA from 1 species